rnacentral:tRNA from 1 species
AAUAAGGUAAGCUAAUCAAGCUCUUGGGCUCAUGCCCCAAAAAUGUCGGUUAAAACCCCACCCUUAUUAC